GUUUGACUUACGUAUUUUUGUUGCGUUUAAAUCAAUCAGUCAUAUGCUGAACAAAACCAGAAACUUUUCAAUAACUUCUCAAGCAAAAAAUUCCAUUCAAAUUGUUCAUGCACCCAUGAGUUCAAGAUAGCACUCAGGCAUUCAAAUUAGAACAAUGGUGAAUUUCCAAGGGUAGCGGUUUUUUUGAGAUACCCUGUACAGUAUAGCGUGGGCUGCGGCCUAUUAACCGCAUAAUAGCAUAGUUGCCCGGGUUCCUUUUGUUCGAUUACAAUGCUUCCAUUUUGAAGUUGAAAAGGAGUUGAAGGAAAUUAUAAGGAAAUUCAUAUCUGAAGGAAAUUUCGGAAGAUUGAAGGAAAUGAUUGAAAGAAAAGAAAAGGCAAUGAAAGUAAAUUGCCUUAUUUUUUAAAAAUAGAUACGCACUGCGUACAUGUGAUAUUUGACCACGCUCUGAUGUGUUGUAAUGACGAAGCGUCAAAGAAUAUCCUUCAUAAAUACUCAUGUAUACUACAAGUAACAUCGAGUACAAAGUCUCGGAAAAUAUUAGUCCAACAAAGGAGGAAUAAAAGGAGAACACACACUAUCAAAUAGGCAUGUCAAUUUCAUUUUAAAAUUUAUAUUUUAUGACAUAUUUUACUAUAAUAUACAUUAAUACUAUAAGUCUACACUGAUCCUUGCGAGAUUGGGCCGCCUGUGGUGCCAACCAUUGGAAUGUAAACCUGCGCAGAACGUAUGCGCAGAACUUUUUAAAAAAUGAACUUUGGAACUUCAUGUUGACACCGGUUGACACGCAUGCGUAUUGCACCCAUUUUAUUAUUGAUCGGUCAAUAAAUGUUUCAUUGCGGACCGGUUUGACAUGACGUUUUGUGGACCGGCACGUGACACGGUUUUGACCAAUCAGCAAACAGAAAAAUUGAACUUUGACACUAACUAUUUAACAAUUUUCACCUUCAUCUUUGAUGUUUUGUCGACAACUGGUUGAUCUUUAUCUCCGUUGUUUUGUUGUGAUGAAAUAUUGAACAUAUAAUACCAAAUUUCCAAAGCACAAUGAAUCCGGAAAUGAUCGAUGUUUAUUUAUUUAUAGGCCUGAUCGCAGGUUACCCACCUCAUGUCAAGAACGACAGUUUCUGAAGUUGACGACAAUUUUCGUCACAUCUUGACAUCCUUCGUUUAGCUUUACAUUGUGGGUAGCCGCGAACGGGCUAGCCACAAAAAUCCUUUAAAUAUGGCAAUAUCCAAAGAAAUGCGCUUCAAAAUAUGCUGAAAAUCCUGUCCUGCGAGAUGUAAAAUCUGAAAAUUUUCUGGGGGAGGACCCCCAUGGUUAGUCUCCUUCGUGCUAAUCUAGGUAAACACUUUGUCUCUCCCCUUUGAUAAUUCAGCCCCUGCAACGUCUAUGUUCCGGCAGCCCUAGCGAGCAGGUGUUGACAUCACCAUAGAAACGGGACUUAAAAAUGUUGAAAUGCGAAAUAAAGUUUCAAAAUGCGGUAUAGUAUCUGACGUCAAACGAUGCAACGUGCUGGAUCGCAUCUCAGUGAAAUGUGUAUACAUACAUCAUGUUUAAUUUAAACAUGCCACAAUGGUUCGUUCUAUAUAGAUGUCAUAAAAAAAUAAUAUGUAUCCCUUGCAAAAACAAUUGGUGCAUGAGAGUGAAAUUGCCCUUUUUGUGUAAAUAUUUACUGAAUAUAAACAUUAAUUUCCUUUUUUUAACUUUUUUACAGCCGAAUAUGUCAACACGCAAAAAUUUAAGUGUUACGCUGGGGCCGCAGACG
rnacentral:lncRNA from 1 species